rnacentral:rRNA from 1 species
GAUGAACGCUGGCGGCGUGCUUAACACAUGCAAGUCGAACGGUGAAGGCGGAGCUUGCUCUGCUGGAUCAGUGGCGAACGGGUGAGUAACACGUGAGCAAUCUGCCCCUGACUCUGGGAUAAGCGCUGGAAACGGCGUCUAAUACUGGAUACGAGCUGCGAAGGCAUCUUCAGCAGCUGGAAAGAAUUUCGGUCAGGGAUGAGCUCGCGGCCUAUCAGCUUGUUGGUGAGGUAACGGCUCACCAAGGCGUCGACGGGUAGCCGGCCUGAGAGGGUGACCGGCCACACUGGGACUGAGACACGGCCCAGACUCCUACGGGAGGCGGCAGUGGGGAAUAUUGCACAAUGGGCGAAAGCCUGAUGCAGCAACGCCGCGUGAGGGACGACGGCCUUCGGGUUGUAAACCUCUUUUAGCAGGGAAGAAGCGAAAGUGACGGUACCUGCAGAAAAAGCGCCGGCUAACUACGUG